rnacentral:tRNA from 1 species
GCUGAUAUGGCUCAGAUGGUAGAGCGCACCCUUGGUAAGGGUGAGGUGUGCAGUUCGACUCUGGGUAUCAGCACCA